rnacentral:misc_RNA from 1 species
GUGCGGCUGGAUCACCUCCUUUCUAAGAGAAAGAUAAACUAAGGCUAAUUCCAUUAACUCUUCCCUACUCUUUUCUUUUGAUAAAGGGUUUUUUAAAGCCAAUGUUGUUUUUAAAGUUUAAUAGAAAUUUAUGUAUUUAACUUUUUGUUAAUGGUGUUAAAGCGUUCUAUUAAGUUUAGAUCAUUUUGGGGGUUUAGCUCAGUUGGCUAGAGCAUCGGCUUUGCAAGCCGAGGGUCAAGGGUUCGAGUCCCUUAACCUCCAUUUGGCAUGUGCCUUGAAUUGUGAUUAAGCAUGUUUUCAAUAACUUUGUUAAAUUAAUUAUUUGAAGGUGAAACAGAAUAAGUUAGAAUUUAUAGGUUAAAGGUGGAAUUUUUUAAUACUAAGAAGAAUGUCUAGGAGCAAAAGCAAAUCUUUUAUAAAAACUUAAGUUGUGUCACUAAAUCAUAAGGAUUAAACAAGAUUAGAUUUUUCAGUAAUCUAUUAUUUUAUAAGCGAUCCAAAUUAAUUCCUAGUUAAAAUCUAGUAAUUAAUAUAGAUCGUUUAGUGUGGUAUCUGGGGGGGGUAAUCCUUGUUAUUGUUGCCACCAUGUAAUGACAGAGAUUUGCAUAAGACUUUCGGUUAUAAGCAGGCGGGUAAGAGCCGUGACCGAAUCGUUUCUUUUAUGCUCUAGGGUUAUGCGCAUGCUAUAAUGGCCUGUAUAAAGCGAAGAGAAGCAGCGAUGUGAAGCAAAAGCUUAAAGCAAGCCAUAGUAUGAAUUGCAUUUUGAAAUUCGACUUCAUGAAGUUGGAAUUGCUAGUAAUCGUAUAUCAGAAUGAUACGGUGAGUACGUUUUAAGGCCUGUACACACUGCCUGUUACAUAGUCCGAGUAUGGGGAUGACCAAAGUAUUAUCCUAACCGGUAAGGGAGGGGAUUUGGCAUAUGUUUAGGAAGGGGGCCGGGUCUUAACAAGACGACUGCACUUUUCAGUAUGAUCAGAUUAGCUUCUUUAUAGGAGAAAGGUAAAUUAAGGCUAAUUUUAUUGACUAUUCUUUGUUAUUUUAUUUUUGUGAAAAGGUUUUUGAAUCCGGAGUAAAUUUUUAGUUUAAAAUUUAGAAAAAAUAAACCCUUAGUAAAUGUUUGGUAGUAUUCAGCUUAAUAUUUAAUUAGGCUUUGUUUAAUAGUAAGUACAAUUUUAGAUUUUAGGGCAAAGAGUUUUUAUAUUAUUGAUUAUAGUUUAAAGCGAUACUGCUAUAAUUAAAACGAUGGAAUACAUGGAC